ensembl:lncRNA
UGGUUUUUGCUGCUUCGUGAAUAAUGGCUGGACGACGUCUCGCGUUCAACUCGCCUUCAACCCCUCUCCGCGGUCACCAACUUUCGGCCAGUCCGCAGACAGACGAGAAGAAGCUGCUGAAUGCUCUCAGUGGAUUGUCUCGUCAACUCCAACAACAAACUGCCGAUAUCAACGAGCGGUUCGCUCCACUGGAGCGUUCGGGACUCUGUGGGUUUCUGUCCAUGGAGGAGAGGAACUGAGUCAAAGAAGAGGAGACGGGCGCACAAUCCCAAGAUAGCGGAAGCGGUGCGCCGUCUUCACAACUCCGAGACGAACUACAGGCGCUACGAACCGGAGCAAAGACUAAUCUCGCCUCAUUAUGAGACGGUGACCACGUAUUUGCUCCGGAAAAAGUCCAGAUUUAGACGACGUCAUUGUGUCCGCCUGUGAGACGUAUUUUGAGACGGGACGCAGGAGCUUCAGGUUUUCCCAGCCGGGACACUCAUUGCGGGCGGAAGCUGCGAAGGAUUCAGCGCGGAGUCGAGCGAGAAGAAAGACGCUGCUGGAAUCGAGAUAAAGUGUGCUGGCUGAUGACGAGGUGGAACUCUGGAAAUCCGCCACCGUAGAGCUCACGUCGGACGGAGGGGACGGCGUUGUUGGCGGGGUCUCGAGGUGGAUUGUACGGUCGCCACAUACACACGAGGCGCCUGCACAACAGACCUGCCUCGGAAAACACGGCGCCAGUGACGGUCUACAACCCCGAGGAGGCAAACAGACAGUUUACUGAGCUGUAGUUUUUAAACCGCCGUUACCCAAGUGUGGGCAGAUCCUCACUUUGUAUGUAAGUUGUUGUUUGUGUGUUGUUUCUUUGCAUAAACAUGUGGCAAAUGUUAAUUUUCUCUAUAAAUUCAUUGAUGUCCUUGUUGGUAUCCUAAUAAUAGUGUAGUAGCCUACAUAGGAUAACCAUGAAAUGAAUAUACAGCAUAAUAUGAAUAUAUAAAUAUAUAUGAAUAAAAUGAGGCGGGUGACCAAUAGCGACAGAUCUGCCAACCAAUCACGAGUGAUUGAAAGUUGUGUUUUCAUCCAAUCA